rnacentral:rRNA from 1 species
UCUUGGUCAUUUAGAGGAAGUAAAAGUCGUAACAAGGUCUCCGUUGGUGAACCAGCGGAGGGAUCAUUACUGAGUACUACACUCUCUACCCUUUGUGAACUAUUAUACCUGUUGCUUCGGCGGCGCCCGCGAGGGUGCCCGCCGGUCUCAUCAGAAUCUCUGUUUUCGAACCCGACGAUACUUCUGAGUGUUCUUAGCGAACUGUCAAAACUUUUAACAACGGAUCUCUUGGCUCCAGCAUCGAUGAAGAACGCAGCGAAACGCGAUAUGUAAUGUGAAUUGCAGAAUUCAGUGAGUCAUCGAAUCUUUGAACGCACAUGGCGCCUUCCAGUAUCCUGGGAGGCAUGCCUGUCCGAGCGUCGUUUCAACCCUCGAGCCCCCGUGGCCCGGCGUUGGGGAUCUGCCACGGCAGGCCCCUAAAACCAGUGGCGGACCCGAAGGCCCUCUCCUUUGCGCAGUAGCAUCAGCCUCGCAUUGGGAUCCCUCGGCGUCCUGCCUCUAAACCCCCCACAAGUCCGCUCCGGCGGCACCAAGGUUGACCUCGGAUCAGGUAGGAAUACCCGCUGAACUUAAGCAUAUCAAUAAGCGGAGGA